CAACUCUCCAUACCAGGAAAAAGGAAGAAAGAAGCUGAGAGGUUUGGGUAAUGGUUUGUAAUUCGGGUGCCGGUUGACGUGGUUGUGGCUUUCCUCGCCAAGCUGUGAGGAGUUUUGAAAACAGAAAGAAAAUCGCCUUCAAGUUUAAAGAUUAUGAGAACGGCACACAAUAUGGAAAUGCGAUCUAAAAGCAACAUGUUAAUAGGUGGCAUGUGGUGAAAUGUACAAAUGUAGCACAGAUAAUGAGAAUAAUGUAAGCCACAAUAUCAAAAUCAACUGACUUUACAAUGAACAACUGAUCUCUGGUCAAAGCAGGUGGGUGACCCUGGGAGCAAGCUAUGUGGCCUCAACAAGAAAGCACAAGCUUGCUACCUGUUAGAAAUCAAAAAUGCAGUCAAACAUCAAACCUGGAAGGCCUGAAAGAGAUCAUUUUCAGAUCACAUGAAAUCAGGAUGAAUUCCAUCAAUUAAUUUGUUCUGUGUUUAACAUUUAUUUAGUGCUCAAUAUCAGUUUAUGUACUGGAUAGUAAUAAAUUGUCUC